UACGUAGGCAGCGAGCGUUGUUCGGAGUUACUGGGCGUAAAGAGUGCGUAGGCGGUUUUCUAAGUUUGGUGUGAAAUCUCCCGGCUUAACUGGGAGGGUGCGCCGAAAACUGGAAGGCUUGAGUAUGGGAGAGGUAAGCGGAAUUCCUGGUGUAGCGGUGAAAUGCGCAGAUAUCAGGAAGAACACCAAUGGCGAAAGCAGCUUUCUGGGACGGUACUGACGCUGAGACGCGAAAGCGUGGGGAGCGAACAGG
rnacentral:rRNA from 1 species